UCCUACGGAGGCAGCAGUGGGGAAUAUUGGACAAUGGGCGAAAACCUGAUCCAGCAAUGCCGCGUGAGUGAUGAAGGCCCUAGGGUUGUAAAGCUCUUUUACCCGGGAUGAUAAUGACAGUACCGGGAGAAUAAGCUCCGGCUAACUCCGUGCCAGCAGCCGCGGUAAUA
rnacentral:rRNA from 1 species